rnacentral:rRNA from 1 species
GACGAACGCUGGCGGCGUGCUUAACACAUGCAAGUCGAACGGUGAAGCGCCUUCCUUUUUGGUGGGUGUGGAUGAGUGGCGAACGGGUGAGUAACACGUGAGUAACCUGCCCCCUUCUUCUGGAUAACCGCAUGAAAGUGUGGCUAAUACGGGAUAUUCUGGGUCUGUCGCAUGAUGGGUCUGGGAAGGAUAUUGUUUCGGUGGGGGAUGGGUUCGCGGCCUAUCAUCUUGUUGGUGGGGUGAUGGCCUACCAAGGCCUGGACGGGUAGCCGGCCUGACAGGGAGUGAGACAACGCCGGGACUGCUACGCGAGGCAGAAGCCGGGGAUAGUGAGCAGUGGGGGAAAGUGUGCUGCGGCGGCGAGGCGGAAGCGAUGGCGGCCUUCGCGUUGUGAACCUCUUUGGCUAGUGAAGCAGGCCUGCCUGGUAUGUGGGGGGGUUGACGGUAGCUGGAUAAGAAGCGCCGGCUAACUACGUG